ACUCCCACGGGAGGCAGCAGUUGGGAAUAUUGGACAAUGGGCGAAAGCCUGAUCCAGCAAUGCCGCGUGAGUGAUGAAGGCCCUCGGGUCGUAAAGCUCUUUCAGCGGGAAAGAAUAAAUUGACGGUACCCGCAGAAGAAGCACCGGCUAACUCUGUGCCAGCAGCCGCGGUAAU
rnacentral:rRNA from 1 species